rnacentral:rRNA from 1 species
UACGUAGGGGGCAAGCGUUGUCCGGAAUCAUUGGGCGUAAAGAGCGCGUAGGCGGUCCGGUAAGUCCGCUCUGAAAGUCCGGGGCUCAACCCCGGGAGGCGGGCGGAUACUGUCGGGCUAGAGUCCGGAAGAGGCGAGUGGAAUUCCUGGUGUAGCGGUGAAAUGCGCAGAUAUCAGGAGGAACACCAAUGGCGAAGGCGGCUCUCUGGGACGGUACUGACGCUGAGACGCGAAAGCGUGGGGAGCGAACAGG